CUAUAAUGCAGUCGAGCGAAUGACGAGGAGCUUGCUCCUCUGAUUUAGCGGCGGACGGGUGAGUAACACGUGGGUAACCUGCCUGUAAGACGGGGAUAACUUCGGGAAACCGAAGCUAAUACCGGAUAAUAAAGAGAGACUCCUGUUUCUUUUUUGAAAGUCGGUUUCGGCUGACGCUUACAGAUGGGCCCGCGGCGCAUUAGCUAGUUGGUGAGGUAACGGCUCACCAAGGCCACGAUGCGUAGCCGACCUGAGAGGGUGAUCGGCCACACUGGGACUGAGACACGGCCCAGACUCCUACGGGAGGCAGCAGUAGGGAAUCUUCGGCAAUGGACGAAAGUCUGACCGAGCAACGCCGCGUGAGCGAUGAAGGCCUUCGGGUCGUAAAGCUCUGUUGUCAGAGAAGAACAAGUACCGGAGUAACUGCCGGUACCUUGACGGUACCUGACCAGAAAGCCACGGCUAACUACGUGCCAGCAGCCGCGGUAAUACGUAGGUGGCAAGCGUUAUCCGGAAUUAUUGGGCGUAAAGCGCGCGCAGGCGGUUCCUUAAGUCUGAUGUGAAAGCCCACGGCUCAACCGUGGAGGGUCAUUGGAAACUGGGGAACUUGAGUGCAGGAGAGAAAAGUGGAAUUCCACGUGUAGCGGUGAAAUGCGUAGAGAUGUGGAGGAACACCAGUGGCGAAGGCGGCUUUUUUGGCCUGUAACUGACGCUGAG
rnacentral:rRNA from 1 species